rnacentral:tRNA from 1 species
AAGAUGCUAGUAUAAGAGAAAAGUACACUGCCUUGUCAAGACAGAAUUGUGGGUUAGAACCCCGCGCAUCUUA